ACAGCCGUGGCUGUAAAAUCGUAUGGCCUUUAUACACCUGAUGUUAACAUGACUGCAACGGUCGAUAACUCAUCUGUGGGUUCAUGGUCGUUUACUAAUAAUCAGACUUCCAAAUCUGUUUUCUUUGAUGUAGGCGGAUGCAGAGUCUCAGAUGUCCUUUUCUUAGCCGGUUCAGAUAUUGAGACGAGCCCAGAAAACUGCUCCAAAGUCAUCUGUGAUGCGUAUGCAGCCGUCAGAACUGUCAGUACAUGUGGACCCACGGAGGUUUGCCAGGGCAACAACACGUAAAUAUGUUUGCUUUAUAUUUGGAACAAAGUUUGAAUAAAGGUUUGACUGACUGAUUUAAAUGAAGUGCACCAUGUGGACUGAAAGCGACUCGUAUUCAGACAAACGCCACAAAACAAAGACUUGA